rnacentral:rRNA from 1 species
UACAGAGGUCUCAAGCGUUGUUCGGAUUCAUUGGGCGUAAAGGGUGCGUAGGCGGCGCGGUAAGUCGGGUGUGAAAUCUCGGAGCUUAACUCCGAAACUGCAUUCGAUACUGCCGUGCUUGAGGACUGGAGAGGAGACUGGAAUUUACGGUGUAGCGGUGAAAUGCGUAGAUAUCGAGAGGAACACCUGCGGCGAAGGCGGGUUGCUGGGCUGACACUGACGCUCAUGCACGAAAGCGUGGGGAGCAAACAGG